UCUUUUUCUUUGUAAACUCUUUGUAAACCUAAUUAUCAAGUUAUGAUUGAUAUUGAUUUCUUUCUCUUCGUUGUUGAAAUUGCAGGAAACAAUACACGGAUGUGCAGAGAUAUGAGAGAGAGAAUCCAAGAGGAAAUAUAAAGAUUUCAGGAUCAACAUGGAUAUACAUCUAGCGUUUUUUUUUGUUCUCCUUUUCUUUCUGUGUUGAUUUUCGAUUUUUUACAGAUGAGGAGUUAUACUUGCGCUGAUUUAACACCAAACCCUAAACUCCGAUAACCUCCAUUGAUUAUGCAGUCGAAUUUUUACAGUUAUAUUUUGAUUUUUCAGAUAAAGGGUUUAAUAGUUCGAAACAGGUAUGAACUAACAGUUUCAUAAUAGCUUUUGGUUGAUUCUUUUCUUUGCUUUGAUUAAACAAGUGGUAAAAUCAGUUUUCUUUUUAUGUUUUAUUUGAAAUUACAAAAACAUAGAUUAGCGUUUGCUCCUUUUCUCUUUUUCGUGAUGAAGGGUUUACAGUUAAAAACAGGUGUGCCAACUUGCUUGGUAAAAUCAAAAUACAUCCUCUUCCAUUUUUUUAGAUUGGAUUUUGAAUUUUGAAUUUGUAAUCUUUUCUUUGAUUACAGAGGUAAGUUCCUAUGCAAAUUCAAUUUGAUAAAUUAAUAUAUCAAAAAUCCAAUUAAAUGUUAUCAGUGGUUUAGUAAUCUCUUCUUUGAUUUGGCUCUCUUCUCAAAUCUAUCUUUUUACUUUUUGUGCAUGUUGUUUUUUCUUAAAUCUUCUCUGAUUUGUUUUUAGUUUUUCCAGUUCUUAAAAACGAGCAGGAACUCUCUUUUGGUAAUGUUUCUUAUAGGUGUGGGUAGCAUAUAACUUACAAGGUAUAUUGCAUACUCGACAAUAUAGGUUAGUAAGCUAAUCAGGUUACUCAUCACCUAAUCUUAUGUGAACUAGGAGCAUCCAGUAAAGUUGAUGCCCUUAAAAGUACCUUAAACGUGAGGUUGACGUUGAUCCCUAAGAUGAUUUUGAAGCAGCAUUCAAGGUUACUUUAGUUAAAUGUUGUAAUUUGUUAUUUAUAUUAACUAAUAUGAUCUUUUGAUGCUAAUUAAGAGAAUUGACAUCUGAUAUCUAAUGUGUUACAUGUUUAAGCAUAAAGAUGUGGGUUUCUUACAGUAAACCAACUAGAGAUUUUGUUGUUUUAUUGGAUUUUGUUUGUAUGACCUAGAGAGAAAGGAAAACAAGUUAUUAAUGUAAAGCUCAUGACCAGGGAUUCAGCAGUGUGGUGUGCUAACGGGCUUGGUUGUGGUUUUUCAAGCCGAGCCAAACAUAUAAAGGUUUACAGGUAUUGGAAUGUUCAUGGAAUUCUAUGGCUAUGAGCGUUUGGUUCAAAGCAUUUCAAUUGUGUAGUAUUUGAACUAUAUUAUCAUCUUAAAACUAUAUUAGAAGCACAUCUUUUGCUGGUGUCAUUUACCUUGGCUACUGCUGUUAAUCCUAGCUUUUUAAUUGUUCAUGGAUAUUAGAGUUGGCUGUAGUUGCUAGGUAAAGUUGAAUCAGUGCGGACCAGGAUGUUAGCUGACUACAAAAUUCUCAAGUUUCGCCGAGAUUAAAUUGGUAGCGAGAAUCAAGACACUGUGAUUCUGAAAACUCCAAUAUAGGAUGUCAUUGCCGGUGCAUAACAUUGCAUCUUGGUUGCUCAUAUUAAAUCCGUGAACCUCCUAAUGUAAUGUUUGAGUACCAGGACCCAACGAGAACGGAAAGAAAUUUCUUAAAGCGCAUGACCGGAUUCAGUAUUGCCGAGUGCUUACUCGAAUGGUGCUUGAAUUUGAGAGCUCUUUAUUUUCCAUUUUUUUUAGCAUAUUUUUCUUCCUAUAUAUAUUAGACAAAUAGAGAAAUUUAGUAUGAUGGGCAAGUAAAUAGAGGUGAAUAAUUGAUAUCAUCCAGCCAAAGUAAAUAAUUGACUUUCGAUA